ensembl:misc_RNA 7SK 7SK RNA
AGCUGUGAGGGUGGUCUGGCGGUGACGUGUCCCCUCUUGACCACCAGGUGGAUUCGGUUGACUGGCUUCCUGGGCAGGCGUCCCUUCCUCCCUCACCUCUCCAUGUGCGUCCCUCUGAAGCCACACCUCUGGUUGAAAAGGACGACCAUCCUCCAUAGAGAAGGACUGUUCUCUAGUCAAAGCUACGCGGGGAGCUGAACUGCCCUGCUAAAACCUCCACACACGCUCUCAAGAUAGGGUUUCCCGUUUGUGCUCCAUUGUGCUGGGAUUACAGGCAUGCACUAUCACACCUAGCUACUGCUGGAGAUGAAGUUUCCAGAUAUU